AACUCCACACGUGCGGAUGCUAGACUGGCUAUGGGAUUGUCAUCUUGGAUUGCUGCUGCAAUGAAUCAUCUGAGGGAGUGGGAGGAGUUCAAGUCCAAGUGGAUAAAGGACUCAAACUAACAGAAGAAAAAGUUGUGAAGAGCCUGGAACACAUGGGUACUGGAGAAAAUUUCCUGAACAGAACACCAAUGGCUUAUGCUCUAAGAUACUGCUCCAGAAAAAGAUCCUUGUGAUCCUGCUGCUAACGAAGGUGACCUCCAUCCCUCAUCACCACCAGGCCAAAUGCUCUAAUAAUAGACAUAUGCCUUGGAACUAUACCUGGAUAGUUCUUAGAGAAAGUCAGGAUGAGGCUUAGUCAAUAUCAUGGACCUCUAAUGCUAUCUGGUGGCCUACUUAACUCCACCCAGACCCCUGUAAACUAGCCCUUGGGCCUGUAGCCCCCUGGGGCCUUGAACCUUUGCCUUGAGUUACAAGUUGCCCCAGAGGAUAAUAUGCCCACAAUUUGUUCAUUUCGGUCCACAGAUCUGUCCAGCCUGGCUGCAAUAAAGCAAUUAGACGCACCUUGCUCCAGGCCACUAUUGUAUAUGUAUGCUUUGGAUAUCCCAGAGGUCAUGCUUUCCUCAAUAAAUGUGGUGGUGAGUCUGAUU
rnacentral:lncRNA from 1 species